rnacentral:rRNA from 1 species
GAUGAACGCUGGCGGCGUGCUUAACACAUGCAAGUCGAACGAUGAAGCCCAGCUUGCUGGGUGGAUUAGUGGCGAACGGGUGAGUAACACGUGAGUAACCUGCCCUUAACUCUGGGAUAAGCCUGGGAAACUGGGUCUAAUACCGGAUAGGAGCGUCCACCGCAUGGUGGGUGUUGGAAAGAUUUAUCGGUUUUGGAUGGACUCGCGGCCUAUCAGCUUGUUGGUGAGGUAAUGGCUCACCAAGGCGACGACGGGUAGCCGGCCUGAGAGGGUGACCGGCCACACUGGGACUGAGACACGGCCCAGACUCCUACGGGAGGCAGCAGUGGGGAAUAUUGCACAAUGGGCGCAAGCCUGAUGCAGCGACGCCGCGUGAGGGAUGACGGCCUUCGGGUUGUAAACCUCUUUCAGUAGGGAAGAAGCGAAAGUGACGGUACCUGCAGAAGAAGCACCGGCUAACUACGUGCCAGCAGCCGCGGUAAUACGUAGGGUGCGAGCGUUAUCCGGAAUUAUUGGGCGUAAAGAGCUCGUAGGCGGUUUGUCGCGUCUGUCGUGAAAGUCCGGGGCUUAACCCCCGGAUCUGCGGUGGGUACGGGCAGACUAGAGUGCAGUAGGGGAGACUGGAAUUCCUGGUGUAGCGGUGGAAUGCGCAGAUAUCAGGAGGAACACCGAUGGCGAAGGCAGGUCUCUGGGCUGUAACUGACGCUGAGGAGCGAAAGCAUGGGGAGCGAACAGGAUUAGAUACCCUGGUAGUCCAUGCCGUAAACGUUGGGCACUAGGUGUGGGGACCAUUCCACGGUUUCCGCGCCGCAGCUAACGCAUUAAGUGCCCCGCCUGGGGAGUACGGCCGCAAGGCUAAAACUCAAAGGAAUUGACGGGGGCCCGCACAAGCGGCGGAGCAUGCGGAUUAAUUCGAUGCAACGCGAAGAACCUUACCAAGGCUUGACAUGUUCUCGAUCGCCGUAGAGAUACGGUUUCCCCUUUGGGGCGGGUUCACAGGUGGUGCAUGGUUGUCGUCAGCUCGUGUCGUGAGAUGUUGGGUUAAGUCCCGCAACGAGCGCAACCCUCGUUCCAUGUUGCCAGCACGUAAUGGUGGGGACUCAUGGGAGACUGCCGGGGUCAACUCGGAGGAAGGUGAGGACGACGUCAAAUCAUCAUGCCCCUUAUGUCUUGGGCUUCACGCAUGCUACAAUGGCCGGUACAAUGGGUUGCGAUACUGUGAGGUGGAGCUAAUCCCAAAAAGCCGGUCUCAGUUCGGAUUGGGGUCUGCAACUCGACCCCAUGAAGUCGGAGUCGCUAGUAAUCGCAGAUCAGCAACGCUGCGGUGAAUACGUUCCCGGGCCU